CCGCGUGGGAGCGCUCAUUAGGGAUAGAGUCCCUAUGUUGUGGUCAGACUGGGGCGAGGUCCCGCAGGAGGUUAAGGACAUGGUCCACAACGCGAUGUCGGUGAGUUUACAAAAUAAUAUUAUGUAUUACAUUGUUGAUUUCUCGAAAAACUAAACUAAUAAACGGUUAAAUACAGGUGUGGUUUGAGGUUCCCGAGCACCUUAAGGACAGCUGGGCCGACGUUGUGCAUGGGGGAAGGUACGUUGGGAAGUUAAUGAAAAACAAAAUUGUAUGUGAUAUUAAUAAUAUUUCUAAUAUUUUUGUUGUGUCUGUAGGUACAAGGAGUGGAAGAACGAGUUGCGGACCCAUUGGACUACGCACGGGAACGCACCUUCUGGUACCCCUGCUGAGUUCCAGUACAGGGAGUACGAGUGGCGUUGGCUUCUGACAUCAGAAUUCAACAAGCCUCGUAAACAGGUAUUUAAAAAAAUUAAUUAGUUAAUUUGUCAUUAAGUACGUCCGUUUUUAAAUAUUUUACUAAUAAUUUAUUUUUUUCUUUGAAGGCCGUUUCCCGAGCGAACUCUCAGAACCGUCAACGCAACACAAGGAACCACCAUGGCGGUUCUAGACCGUUCGCUGUCUUCAUGGACGAGGCGGCCAGGGAACAUCCAGAGGUCAACCCGUACGUCUAUACGUACGAGAAGGCAUAUCCUGACUCCCAGGAGGAUAUUGUAAGUCAUUUUAGGUUUUUAAAUUUUAAAUUUUAAAUUUAUAUAUAUGUGAAAAUGUUAAUUAAUUAUUUUUUCCUAUCCAAUUAGGCGAAGGUGAGGGAGGCUAGUGACGAGGUGAUGAGUGCUAUAGUGAGGGAGACAUGGCCGGACACGCAAGAGGAAGAGAUGUCCGAAGCCAUGUCCCGGAUCGACACUUCGGAUCCGACGAUUGGGGCGAGGAUCAUGGGCACAGCCUUCCCACCGAGAGCAAACAACUUCUACUGCCGGGGUCUAGGAAAGAAAGGCGAGGGGGUCCUGAAGAGCACUCCAGGAUUUCAAAGAAAGGCAGCCUCGACCAGCAGCAGGACCACGUCCACGAUCACCAGGACGACUCAGCUAGAGUCGGAAGUUCAGAGACUACGAGA
rnacentral:lncRNA from 1 species